GAUGAACGCUGGCGGCGUGCCUAAUACAUGCAAGUCGAGCGAACAGAUAAGGAGCUUGCUCCUUUGACGUUAGCGGCGGACGGGUGAGUAACACGUGGAUAACCUACCUAUAAGACUGGGAUAACUUCGGGAAACCGGAGCUAAUACCGGAUAACGUAUUGAACCGCAUGGUUCAAUAGUGAAAGGCGGCUUUGCUGUCACUUAUAGAUGGAUCCGCGCCGUAUUAGCUAGUUGGUAAGGUAACGGCUUACCAAGGCAACGAUACGUAGCCGACCUGAGAGGGUGAUCGGCCACACUGGAACUGAGACACGGUCCAGACUCCUACGGGAGGCAGCAGUAGGGAAUCUUCCGCAAUGGGCGAAAGCCUGACGGAGCAACGCCGCGUGAGUGAUGAAGGUCUUCGGAUCGUAGAACUCUGUUAUCAGGGAAGAACAAAUGUGUAAGUAACUGUGCACAUCUUGACGGUACCUGAUCAGAAAGCCACGCCUAACUACGUGCCAGCAGCCGCGGUGAUACGUAGGUGGCAAGCGUUAUCCGGAAUUAUUGGGCGCAAAGCGCGCGUAGGCGGUUUUUUAAGUCUGAUGUGAAAGCCCACGGCUCAACCGUGGAGGGUCAUUGGAAACUGGAAAACUUGAGUGCAGAAGAGGAAAGUGGAAUUCCAUGUGUAGCGGUGAAAUGCGCAGAGAUAUGGAGGAACACCAGUGGCGAAGGCGACUUUCUGGUCUGUAACUGACGCUGAUGUGCGAAAGCGUGGGGAUCAAACAGGAUUAGAUACCCUGGUAGUCCACGCCGUAAACGAUGAGUGCUAAGUGUUAGGGGGUUUCCGCCCCUUAGUGCUGCAGCUAACGCAUUAAGCACUCCGCCUGGGGAGUACGACCGCAAGGUUGAAACUCAAAGGAAUUGACGGGGACCCGCACAAGCGGUGGAGCAUGUGGUUUAAUUCGAAGCAACGCGAAGAACCUUACCAAAUCUUGGCAUCCUUUGACUGCUCUAGAGAUAGAGUCUUCCCCUUCGGGGGACAAAGUGACAGGUGGUGCAUGGUUGUCGUCAGCUCGUGUCGUGAGAUGUUGGGUUAAGUCCCGCAACGAGCGCAACCCUUAAGCUUAGUUGCCAUCAUUAAGUUGGGCACUCUAAGUUGACUGCCGGUGACAAACCGGAGGAAGGUGGGAUGACGUCAAAUCAUCAUGCCCCUUAUGAUUUGGGCUACGCACGUGCUACAAUGGACAAUACAAAGGGCAGCUAAACCGCGAGGUCAAGCAAAUCCCAUAAAGUUGUUCUCAGUUCGGAUUGUAGUCUGCAACUCGACUACAUGAAGCUGGAAUCGCUAGUAAUCGUAGAUCAGCAUGCUACGGUGAAUACGUUCCCGGGUCU
rnacentral:rRNA from 1 species